rnacentral:lncRNA from 1 species
CAACCUUCUGUGCAGUGGGAGUCAGCAAGAGGGAGAAAGAGGCUAAGGCCCAGAGGCACUAUUCCACAAUGUCUGGGGUCCUGACCCCUCAUGACCAGAGAAUCAGAGCAGAUUCCACAGACUUGAGGACUCCUGCUUCCAAACUCCCUGACCCUGUAGUCUCUCUGUAGUCUGUCCCUUAAAAGCACAGCUUUUUCUGUCCCCACUCAAGUGACAAGGUAUUUUUGCCUGUAGCUAGGUAAUAGUAAUAGAUCAAGGGCCCAAGGUAGCCUGCUAAGGAAAAUGCUUUCCCAGCCUCAGGAGGGGCCAGCCAGCAUUUGAGGCUAUGGUGACAGCCUCAACCUCCCUCAGCUCAGCAGACUUAAUAUUCCCAUCCAGAUGGUUCUCUCAGGUGAGGCUAAAACAAGUUCCUCCAAUAAAAGAUAAGGUCAAGAGUCAGCAGCUGUGGGGUUGGGGAUUUAGCUCAGUGGUAGAGCGCUUGCCUAGGAAGUGCAAGGCCCUGGGUUCGGUCCCCAGCUCUGAAAA